UUCUUUAAUGUUUUUUGACCUAAAUGUUUUAAUCGUUGGCACGUUCGUUGGUCCCUUGCGUAGCGCUACUAGCUAAUUACAUCAAACAUCUAGCUUUUUCUUUUAUAAUGAUUUGCAUACGCGAAAUUACCAAUGGUCCCAAAACAAUAGCUGUCUAUCACUAAAGAUUUUUGUUUUCGAAUUUGGAUUUUUCGCAUCAUUUCCAUGUUAACAUGCUUUUAAGACAAUGUAACCCUACAUUAACAUACUUAAAAGGCUUUCCAACAUCCAGUUUUUAACACAGAUGGUACCACUGCAAAUGCUUUAAUCACAUUGGUAGUAUAUGCAGGCAAAAGUAGAUAACAUGGGCAGAGGGAGAUUCAGAAGAAGAUGAAAAAUUUGGACUGACACAAAUGAAGCUGGAAUUUAAAAAAAAAAAAAUUAAAAUUAAAU